rnacentral:rRNA from 1 species
GGCUCAGGAUGAACGCUGGCGGCGUGCUUAACACAUGCAAGUCGAACGAUGAUCUCCAGCUUGCUGGGGGGAUUAGUGGCGAACGGGUGAGUAACACGUGAGUAACCUGCCCUUAACUCUGGGAUAAGCCUGGGAAACUGGGUCUAAUACCGGAUAUGACUCCUCAUCGCAUGGUGGGGGGUGGAAAGCUUUUUGUGGUUUUGGAUGGACUCGCGGCCUAUCAGCUUGUUGGUGAGGUAAUGGCUCACCAAGGCGACGACGGGUAGCCGGCCUGAGAGGGUGACCGGCCACACUGGGACUGAGACACGGCCCAGACUCCUACGGGAGGCAGCAGUGGGGAAUAUUGCACAAUGGGCGCAAGCCUGAUGCAGCGACGCCGCGUGAGGGAUGACGGCCUUCGGGUUGUAAACCUCU